rnacentral:rRNA from 1 species
UACGUAGGCAGCAAGCGUUGUUCGGAAUUACUGGGCGUAAAGAGUGUGUAGGCGGUGCUCUAAGUUCGGUGUGAAAUCUCCCGGCUCAACUGGGAGGGUGCGCCGGAAACUGGAGUGCUGGAGCGCGGGAGAGGAAAGCGGAAUUCCUGGUGUAGCGGUGAAAUGCGUAGAUAUCAGGAGGAACACCGGUGGCGAAGGCGGGUCUCUGGGCAGUAACUGACGCUGAGGAGCGAAAGCGUGGGGAGCGAACAGG